UAAUACAUCACCAUUAUUGUACUUCUUCCUUCUUCACUUUGCUAACUGGCUACAUAGUGGUACCGUCCACUAUAAUAAAACGGGUAGACAUCAUGUAUGGGAUCUAUAUACUAGUGAAAAUACAUGAUGCACGCUUCAACUCCUGGUGGGUGAUGAAAUUGCACGGUGGUAAUGAAUGAAUUUUACGGCCUGGGCACGAAAUAGCGAAAAUCAGGGAAUAUUCCCAAAAACAUUCCCAAAAGAUGGCCAACAUUUUCGAUAUGAGAAAAGUAUAUAAUUAGGAACAAAUUCAGUUUACAAGCAACUUUCACAUAAGAGAUACUCAUGAAAGCCCAAAUUUAAUUCAGCCAACCUAAAAUACAAAAAGAAGAUACAGAGGUCAUGCUUACUUCUGCUGAAGUGGCAAAUAAUUCAGCUUGCAAAUGAUAAUAAAUCAGGAGGAAAAGCAGCUAUUGAAGAUUAUUAUUAUAUGAAUAUAAUAUUCCUUUUUUUCAACCCUUUAAAUAAACAUAAUUAAUAAUUCUAUUUUAGAUGAUUGUCAUUUUCCAAUAGAUACACUGUUAAUAUUUUAUCAAUGCAUAUUGUAUUGUGUAUUAUAAUAUUAUAUAUUAUUCAGUGCAAAUAUAAAUGAUCAAUCUGUCUAUGCAGUGUACACUUAAAAUUGAAUGUAAAAGUUAUUAUUUAAAAUAUAAAUAAUUAAAAAAAACCCUUUAUUUACUAAUAUUAUUUAAAUUUCUUAGUGGCAAAUAAUUCAGCUUGCAAAUGAUAAUAAAUCAGCAGAGAAAGCAGCUAUUGAAAAUUAUUAUUAUAUGGAUAUAAUAUUCCUUUUUUUCAACCCUUUAAAUAAACAUAAUUAAUAAUUCUAUAUUAGAUGAUUGUCAUUUUCCAAUAGAUACACUGUUAAUAUUUUAUCAAUGCAUAUUGUAUUAUUAUUGUGUUAUUAUAAUAUUAUAUAUUAUUCAGUGCAAAUAAAAAUGAUCAAUCUGUCUAUGCAGUGUACACUUAAAAUUAAAUGUAAAAGU